rnacentral:rRNA from 1 species
GAUGAACGCUGGCGGCGUGCCUAAUACAUGCAAGUCGAGCGAACGGACGAUAAGCUUGCUUCUCUGAUGUUAGCGGCGGACGGGCGAGUAACACGUGGAUAACCUACCUAUAAGACUGGGAUAACUUCGGGAAACCGGAGCUAAUACCGGAUGAUAUUUUGAACCGCAUGGUUCAAAAGUGAAAGACGGUCUUGCCGUCACUUAUAGAUGGAUCCGCGCUGCAUUAGCUAGUUGGUAAGGUAACGGCUUACCAAGGCAACGAUGCAUAGCCGACCUGAGAGGGUGAUCGGCCACACUGGAACUGAGACACGGUCCAGACUCCUACGGGAGGCAGCAGUAGGGAAUCUUCCGCAAUGGGCGAAAGCCUGACGGAGCAACGCCGCGUGAGUGAUGAAGGUCUUCGGAUCGUAAAACUCUGUUAUUAGGGAAGAACAUAUGUGUAAGUAACUGUGCACAUCUUGACGGUACCUAAUCAGAAAGCCACGGCUAACUACGUG